UGCAGAACCACGAUCUGAAGCCAUUACAACUAUAAAGUACCAAUUUUUAUCUUCUUCAAUCUCU
rnacentral:sRNA from 1 species